rnacentral:rRNA from 1 species
UACAGAGGGUGCAAACGUUGUUCGGAAUUACUGGGCGUAAAGCGUGUGCAGGCGGCUAAGUAAGUCGGGUGUGAAAGCCCCGGGCUCAACCCGGGAAGUGCACUCGAUACUGCCUAGCUAGAGUCUCGGAGAGGAAGGUGGAAUGCUUGGUGUAGAGGUGAAAUUCGUAGAUAUCAAGCAGAACACCUGCGGCGAAGGCGGCCUUCUGGACGAUGACUGACGCUGAGGCGCGAAAGCGUGGGGAGCAAACAGG